rnacentral:rRNA from 1 species
UGACCUCAAAUCAGGUAGGACUACCCGCUGAACUUAAGCAUAUCAAUAAGCGGAGGAAAAGAAACUAACAAGGAUUCCCCUAGUAACUGCGAGUGAAGCGGGAAAAGCUCAAAUUUAAAAUCUGGCAGUCUUUUGGCUGUCCGAGUUGUAAUCUAGAGAAGUGUUAUCCGCGCUGGACCGUGUACAAGUCUCCUGGAAUGGAGCAUCAUAGAGGGUGAGAAUCCCGUCUUUGACAUGGACUACCAGGGCUUUGUGAUGCGCUCUCAAAGAGUCGAGUUGUUUGGGAAUGCAGCUCAAAAUGGGUGGUAAAUUCCAUCUAAAGCUAAAUAUUGGCGAGAGACCGAUAGCGAACAAGUACCGUGAGGGAAAGAUGAAAAGAACUUUGGAAAGAGAGUUAAACAGUACGUGAAAUUGCUGAAAGGGAAACGCUUGAAGUCAGUCGCGUCGUCCAGGGAUCAACCUUGCUUUUGCUUGGUGCACUUUCUGGUUUGACGGGUCAGCAUCAAUUUUGACUAUUGGAAAAAGUCUAAGGGAAUGUGGCAUCCUUGGAUGUGUUAUAGCCCUUGGUCACAUACAAUGGUUGGGAUUGAGGAACUCAGCACGCCGCAAGGCCGGGUUUAAACCACGUACGUGCUUAGGAUGC